UACGAAGGGUGCAAGCGUUACUCGGAAUUACUGGGCGUAAAGCGUGUGUAGGCGGUUUGUUAAGUCUGUUGUGAAAGCCCCGGGCUCAACCUGGGAAUGGCAAUGGAAACUGGCGAGCUAGAGUACGGUAGAGGAGAGUGGAAUUCCCGGUGUAGCAGUGAAAUGCGUAGAGAUCGGGAGGAACAUCAGUUGCGAAGGCGGCUCUCUGGACCAGUACUGACGCUGAGGCACGAAAGCGUGGGGAGCAAACAGG
rnacentral:rRNA from 1 species